AGUCUGUCUCUCCUGAUGGACUCUGGGAGGCUUGGAGAUACCCGCUUCAGUUUUCUAGGAGGAGCCUGAGCUCUAGAAUCAGCAAUGUAUGAAUAAAGACUAAAAGAAAUCUGCUAAGAUGUACAUCCAGAGUAUGUAGGCAAAUACAACUGGAUGUAUUUGGUGCACUGACCAGAGUUUGAGUAUGUAAGAAUUCUCUGGAAUUUUUUUUUUCUAAGUAGUUUACCUGCAUAGACAGUUUAAGAAUUAAUUUUACUCCUGGCUGAUUAUAUAUGUUUGAAAUCUCUGCUCACAAAGCAGGUGAAAUCCAGCUUACUAGUUCAGCAGUGGGAUUACUUCUAUGCUGAAAACCAGAAUAAAUUCAGUGAGCCAAAGCUUUACAGUCUGAUCCUAUCAGUAAGUUCAGGCACUGAUCCUACUUCCAUCUGACUGUAUUAAUGCAUUCCUCUGUCAUGCCUGCCAUUAACAGGAGUCCAAUUUGAAUACAAGCACCUACUUAUAAAGAUCAGGUUUCACAACUUGGCUCUCUCAGACAAAAAUGUGACAUUCAGCAACAUCAUUAUUGCCUGACACAGGAAAUCAUUAGGAAAAAUCAAUAUUUUGGGCAAAACCUAAUAAAACUAGGUAUGUUCUGCCUGUAAAGUGCAGUUCAUUUUUAUUUACAGUGGUAUUACACACCAUUUGAAGAGUUUAAAGAAGCAACUGUUGAUAUUUCCCCAUAUGGGACCGAAGAAGUGACGAAGAAAAAGUUUGAAACUGUAAUCUUGGUUCACAGAUGUAUCUCCUGCAACUAGCAAGGAGACUGAACUUAAAGUCAUCUACAGAAGCUUGGUCUCCUUUGCCAAGGUUCUCAACCAUCCAUUGCCUUGCUAGCUUCUGGGUAUGAGAUGAAAUGUUUUAAAUGCUCAUGAAGUUGCAUUCUCUUUAGAAAAUGUUUUGAAGGUGGUGAAAGAUGUUGCUCACUACCAACUGAGAUGAGAGAAUCUACCAUUUUGAUAGAAAAACCUUGGGCAAGUUGAGAAAUGCCCUGACUAAAGUGUUUUUCUCCUGUUGAGAAAAGAAGACUAAAGAAUUGAGUGGGUCCCUUCUGGAACCUGGACUUUUCAGAUUUCAUCUGCCACUGUUUCCCAUUUUACUUUUCAUGUUUCCUGAGCAGACUGCUUGCAGAAAAUCACCAAGAAGACAUGGAAGUCAAUUUUGUCCAUCAGCCUAUCCUUCCUCAUUUCAGCUUCACAAGU